rnacentral:tRNA from 1 species
UGCCUUGUUGUCUAACGGCUUAAGAUACUUCACUCUGAAUGAAGGGAUACAGGUUCGAUUCCUGUCGAGGCAU